rnacentral:rRNA from 1 species
UGACGAGUGGCGAACGGGUGAGUAAUGUAUCGGAACGUACCAUUCAGUGGGGGAUAACGUAGCGAAAGUUACGCUAAUACCGCAUAUUCUGUGCGCAGGAAAGCAGGGGAUCGCAAGACCUUGCGCUGAUUGAGCGGCCGAUAUCAGAUUAGCUAGUUGGUGAGGUAAAAGCUCACCAAGGCGACGAUCUGUAGCGGGUCUGAGAGGAUGAUCCGCCACACUGGAACUGAGACACGGUCCAGACUCCUACGGGAGGCAGCAGUGGGGAAUUUUGGACAAUGGGGGCAACCCUGAUCCAGCCAUGCCGCGUGAGUGAAGAAGGCCUUCGGGUUGUAAAGCUCUUUCAGCCGGGAAGAAAAUGCAUGGGUUAAUACCCUGUGCAGAUGACGGUACCGGAAUAAGAAGCACCGGCUAACUACGUGCCAGCAGCCGCGGUAAUACGUAGGGUGCGAGCGUUAAUCGGAAUUACUGGGCGUAAAGCGUGCGCAGGCGGUUUUGUAAGACAGGCGUGAAAUCCCCGGGCUUAACCUGGGAACUGCGUUUGUGACUGCAAGGCUAGAGUACGGCAGAGGGGGGUGGAAUUCCACGUGUAGCAGUGAAAUGCGAAGAGAUGUGGAGGAACACCAAUGGCGAAGGCAGCCCCCUGGGUCGAUACUGACGCUCAUGCACGAAAGCGUGGGUAGCAAACAGGAUUAGAUACCCUGGUAGUCCACGCCCUAAACGAUGUCAACUAGGUGUUGGGAGGGUAAAACCUUUUAGUACCGUAGCUAACGCGAGAAGUUGACCGCCUGGGGAGUACGGCCGCAAGGUUAAAACUCAAAGGAAUUGACGGGGACCCGCACAAGCGGUGGAUGAUGUGGAUUAAUUCGAUGCAACGCGAAAAACCUUACCUACCCUUGACAUGUCAGGAACUUUCCAGAGAUGGAUUGGUGCCCGAAAGGGAACCUGAACACAGGUGCUGCAUGGCUGUCGUCAGCUCGUGUCGUGAGAUGUUGGGUUAAGUCCCGCAACGAGCGCAACCCUUGUCGUUAAUUGCCAUCAUUAGUUGGGCACUUUAACGAGACUGCCGGUGACAAACCGGAGGAAGGUGGGGAUGACGUCAAGUCCUCAUGGCCCUUAUGGGUAGGGCUUCACACGUCAUACAAUGGUCGGUACAAAGGGUCGCCAACCCGCGAGGGGGAGCCAAUCCCAUAAAGCCGAUCGUAGUCCGGAUUGUAGGCUGCAACUCGCCUGCAUGAAGUCGGAAUCGCUAGUAAUCGUGGAUCAGCAUGUCACGGUGAAUACGUUCCCGGGUCUUGUACACACCGCCCGUCACACCAUGGGAGCGGGUUCCGCCAGAAGUAGGUAGCCUAACCGCAAGGGGGGCGCUUACCACGGCGGGGUUCGUGACUGGGGUGAAGUCGUAACAAGGUA